rnacentral:rRNA from 1 species
AACGAACGCUGGCGGCAUGCCUAACACAUGCAAGUCGAACGAAGGCUUCGGCCUUAGUGGCGCACGGGUGCGUAACGCGUGGGAAUCUGCCCUUUGGUUCGGAAUAACAGCUGGAAACGGCUGCUAAUACCGGAUGAUGACGAAAGUCCAAAGAUUUAUCGCCAGAGGAUGAGCCCGCGUUGGAUUAGGUAGUUGGUGGGGUAAAGGCCUACCAAGCCGACGAUCCAUAGCUGGUCUGAGAGGAUGAUCAGCCACACUGGGACUGAGACACGGCCCAGACUCCUACGGGAGGAAGCAGUGGGGAAUAUUGGACAAUGGGCGCAAGCCUGAUCCAGCAAUGCCGCGUGAGUGAUGAAGGCCCUAGGGUUGUAAAGCUCUUUUACCCGGGAAGAUAAUGACUGUACCGGGAGAAUAAGCCCCGGCUAACUCCGUG